rnacentral:rRNA from 1 species
CCUACGGGGGGCAGCAGUGAGGAAUAUUGGUCAAUGGACGAGAGUCUGAACCAGCCAAGUAGCGUGAAGGAUGACUGCCCUAUGGGUUGUAAACUUCUUUUAUAUGGGAAUAAAAUGUUCCACGUGUGGGAUUUUGUAUGUACCAUAUGAAUAAGGAUCGGCUAACUCCGUGCCAGCAGCCGCGGUAAUACGGAGGAUCCGAGCGUUAUCCGGAUUUAUUGGGUUUAAAGGGAGCGUAGGUGGAUUGUUAAGUCAGUUGUGAAAGUUUGCGGCUCAACCGUAAAAUUGCAGUUGAAACUGGCAGUCUUGAGUACAGUAGAGGUGGGCGGAAUGCGUGGUGUAGCGGUGAAAUGCUUAGAUAGCACGAAGAACUCCGAUUGCGAAGGCAGUUCACUGGACUGCAACUGACACUGAGGCUCGAAAGUGUGGGUAUCAAACAGGAUUAGAUACCCGGGUAGUC